UACGUAGGGAGCAAGCGUUGUCCGGAAUCAUUGGGCGUAAAGCGCGCGUAGGCGGCCCUGUAAGUCCGCUGUGAAAGUCAAAGGCUCAACCUUUGAAAGCCGGUGGAUACUGCAGGGCUAGAGUCCGGAAGAGGCGAGUGGAAUUCCUGGUGUAGCGGUGGAAUGCGCAGAUAUCAGGAGGAACACCGAUAGCGAAGGCAGCUCGCUGGGACGGUACUGACGCUAAGGCGCGAAAGCGUGGGGAGCGAACAGG
rnacentral:rRNA from 1 species